AUACUACUCCCUCCGUUCGGAAUUACUCGUUCAAAAAUGAAUGUAUAUAGAUGUAUUUUAGUUGUAGAUACAUCCAUUUUUGUGACAAGUAAUUCUGGACGGAGGGAGUAAAUA
rfam:Triticum aestivum genome assembly, contig: Triticum_aestivum_CS42_TGACv1_scaffold_251616_3DL